GAUGAACGUUGGCGGUGUGCCUAAUACAUGCAAGUCGAACGGAGACUGUAGCAAUACUGUCUUAGUGGCGAACGGGUGAGUAACGCGUUGGUGAUCUGCCUCGAAGUGUGGAAUAACCUCCCGAAAGGGAAGCUAAUACCGCAUAGUCUCUCAAGGUUUAGAAAAUUGAGAGUAAAGGAUUUAUUCGCUUCGAGAGGAGCCUGCGUCCCAUCAGCUAGUUGGUAGGGUAACGGCCUACCAAGGCAAUGACGGGUAGGGGACCUGAGAGGGUGGCCCCCCACAAUGGAACUGAAACACGGUCCAUACACCUACGGGUGGCAGCAGUAGGGAAUAUUAGAAAUGGGCGGAAGCCUGAUCUAGCAACGCCGCGUGUGCGAAGAAGGCCUUCGGGUUGUAAAGCACUUUUUGAGAGGAUGAGGAAGGACGGUACUCUCAGAAUAAGUCUCGGCUAACUACGUG
rnacentral:rRNA from 1 species